rnacentral:rRNA from 1 species
AUUGAACGCUGGCGGAAUGCUUUACACAUGCAAGCCGAACGGCAGCACGGACUUCGGUCUGGUGGCGAGUGGCGAACGGGUGAGUAAUGUAUCGGAACGUGCCCAGUCGUGGGGGAUAACGUAGUGAAAAUUACGCUAAUACCGCAUACGAUCUAUGGAUGAAAGCGGGGGAUCGCAAGACCUCGCGCGAUUGGAGCGGCCGAUAUCAGAUUAGGUAGUUGGUGGAGUAAAGGCCCACCAAGCCAACGAUCUGUAGCUGGUCUGAGAGGACGACCAGCCACACUGGAACUGAGACACGGUACAGACUCCUACGGGAGGCAGCAGUGGGGAAUUUUGGGCAAUGGGCGAAAGCCUGAUCCAGCCAUUCCGCGUGCAGGAUGAAGGCCCUCGGGUUGUAAACUGCUUUUGUACAGAACGAAAAGGUUUCUACUAAUACUAGGAGCUCAUGACGGUACUGUAAGAAUAAGCACCGGCUAACUACGUGCCAGCCGCCGCAGUAA